CCACACUUCGGUACUUAGAAGUUUCGUGAUUACUCAAUGGCUUGGAUCUUGCAAGUCCCCAAUCGAGGAGCUUCCCUCACUUAGGAACUUAAGGGAGCAUUGUUUGUACCAUACUUGACCAAUCCCGAAACUACUGAGCAUCGGUCAAUGUUAUAUCAUCAAGGACCCAGAAGAGUUUCCCUCCAACCAGGAGGCCAAUCACAGCGUGACACGUGUCGACAUCAGAAGCCAAUCAUAGUGCGACAUGUGUCAACAUCAGAAGCCAAUCACAACACGACACGUGUCAAUGUCAAAAUGAAACUAGAAACUCUCUUCUAUAAAUAGAGAUCAUUCUCUCACAAUAUUUCCGAAUCUCAUUUGUACUAAAUCAUUCACUAGUACUCACUAAAGGAGAGCUUGAACCUAUGUACUUAUGUAAACCCUUCACAAUUAAUGAGAACUCCUCUACUCCGUGGACGUAGCCAAUCUGGGUGAACCAUGUACAUCUUGUGUUUGCUUCCCUGUCCCUAUCCAUUUACAUACUUAUCCACACUAGUGAUCGGAGCAAUCUAGCGAAGGUCACAAACUUAACACUUUCUGUUGUACCAAAGUCCUUACUGAUUUUAUGCAUCAACACACUACAACAACUAGCAUAUUAUCUUGUAAUUCUUAAAUGGUUAUGCUAAAUGUUUAGGUUUUUGUUGUGAUAAGUUUUUAUCACUACUCAUGAUUUAUAAUCUGACAACAUAACCUUUAAUAACAUAUAACUCUAGUGUGCUAACAUUCUUCUAUGGAAAUGGUUAUACAAAGUUCUAUUCUUGUGAUAACAUGGUGCCCAAGAAAUCAUGGUCACUCACCUUCAAAUUUGAAAUGAAGGGUUGUAGCUAAAACACUAAAAACACAUCCAAUACUCAACUAAUCUUGAUAUCAAAUUUAAAAGUAAAUGAUCAUACAUUAUUUGGUCACCUGAUGGCAAAGAGUUUAUUUGUGGUUAUAUAUAUAUAAAGCAAAAGCUUGAAUAUAUGUAAAAGUCUUAACCCGACAUGAUUUAGUCCUGGUUUGGUACCGAGGUGAUUCUGAAAAAAGUGGCUAUAAAAAAAAGCUAUGAGCUUUCUUAUGUUUGGUAAACAUUCAGCUUCAGUUUUUUUUCACAGUUUUGGAUGAAAAAAAGCCAAAAACACAAAGCUGCAAAACCCAGCUUUGAAAAACCAGUUUUUUUUCACAUCUUUUUUACAUAAAAGUUUAUCAAACACUAUAAAAGUGCUAUUUUUUUUCAAAAGCACUUUUACAAAAAAAUUUACCAAACACUCUGCUGCUUUAUUUCAUAGCUGUUUAUUCUCACAGCACAGCAGAAACAAUUUUUUUUCAAAGCACAGCAAUACUAAACCAACCCUUACUGCCAUGGAUCAUUAAUCAUGGAUGAAAGACUAGAUCAUAUAUAAAUCCACCCACACGCCAUGGAUCAUUAAUCAAUGUAGUUAAGAGUAUACAGUAUACACUCUUCCAUGUGAGGUAUUUGCUUGCUUUCCCCUUCUCCCAAUGAAACUUAGUAGACAUUUAAGGAUAUGAAAGAUGAAUUAUAACCCAGGAAAAGCAUAAACUGAUGAUUCAUUUUGACAUCUAUUUUUCUUCGGCGCCCCCCGGAGGUACCUUUUCAUGCCGUUUGAUUUGAUCCUGCGGUUGAGUUUGAAUGACUUGAUCACUUGCCAUAGACUAUUAUAUGCAGGGAACUUUAAUGAAAAACUCGUAGUGCUAUUUACUUUAACGAAAAAUCAUAUUUUUACAUUAAAAAAUCAAUUAUGCUACUAUUCACUUUACCUUUUAUUUUAUCAUUAUCGUUAAAAUUCAAAAAUUUUAAAUCAUUUCCAUUAAUUUUCCUUUUUAUAUAUUGCUAAGGGGUUUAGUUUAGUGUAAGUUGUCUGUUUUUGUGUACAAAUAUACAUGGCUAUGACUAUGAGUUGGGUGUUCUUGAAUAAAACAAAUCAAAACACCCGACUUCUGAACAGUAAGUUUUAUAAAAAUAAUUAAAAUAAAAACAAAAAAAGAUUAAAAAAAUCUUAAAACAGACUCC
rnacentral:lncRNA from 1 species